GUUAUCUUCGAGCUUUACACAUAAACAUCUUUCUUCAACCACAAGCAAGACAAACGCGUUGCCUGCCGUUUGUGAGCUUAGGUGGGGAGGAAGGAGAGGGGCAGCAAAAACAGCUCAAACAAGACAGGCAAACAGCACCCAGUUAGUGUGAGCAACUCUAACCACAGCUAUGUACAGAGCUGUAAAAACAAUUCACCGAGGCUCUGACUCAGGCGAAGGAGCUGAUGUGUGCUCUGACACCACAGGGUUCAAUGAAGAUAUGUGACUGAAUAAAUGUCCGGGGCCUGAGGAGAGGCCAGCUUUGACUCUGGCCUCAGAGUUUACCUCUGCUCACAAGCAAUGGAGCAGGGGAGGGAUGGCUGCAGAGUCACAGCAAGAACCUGUUUUCUGCCACUUAGGAGCCAGACAGUCACACCAAUCCUCAACUUCCUGAUCUGUAAAUGAAGACAAUAUCACAUCCUUACAAGGUUUGAAAGAAUAAAUAAAGAUGCAGAAGUGUAACUCAUUGUAA